GACGAACGCUGGCGGCGUGCUUAACACAUGCAAGUCGAACGGUGAUCCAGGGCUUGCCCUGGUGAUCAGUGGCGAACGGGUGAGUAACACGUGGGCAACCUGCCCCUGACUUUGGGAUAACCCCUCGAAAGAGGGGCUAAUACCAAAUACGACCGCUCCGGGCAUCCGGUGGCGGUGGAAAGUUUUUCGGUCAGGGAUGGGCCCGCGGCCUAUCAGCUAGAUGGUGGGGUAGUGGCCUACCAUGGCGACGACGGGUAGCCGGCCUGAGAGGGCGACCGGCCACACUGGGACUGAGACACGGCCCAGACUCCUACGGGAGGCAGCAGUGGGGAAUAUUGCGCAAUGGGCGAAAGCCUGACGCAGCGACGCCGCGUGAGGGACGACGGCCUUCGGGUUGUAAACCUCUUUCAGCGGGGACGAAAAUGACGGUACCCGCAGAAGAAGCACCGGCUAACUACGUG
rnacentral:rRNA from 1 species